GAUGUCCUUCGGGACACGAGUUGGCGGAUGCGUGGGACCUGAUCUGGUAGUAGCCAAGCGAUGGGGUGACGCAGGAAGGUAGCUGGGCCAGUCAGUGGUUGUACUGGUGUAAGAGUGUAGGCCGUGACAUAGGCAAAUCCGUGUCACAUUAAGGCUGAGACUUGAUGCAUACCCGUUGUGGGGAAUUCAGUGAUCCUAUGCUGCCGAGAAAAGCCUCUAGUGAGUUCAUACACGGCCCGUACCCCAAACCGACACAGGUGAUCAGGUAGAGAAUACCAAGGCGAUCGAGAGAACUGUGGUUAAGGAACUCGGCAAAAUGCCCCCGUAACUUCGGGAGAAGGGGGACCAUGCCCGGUGAACAUCUUCACGGUGGGAGCUGGGUGUGGUCGCAGAGACCAGAGAGAAGCGACUGUUUACUAAAAACACAGGUCCGUGCGAAGACGUAAGUCGAUGUAUACGGACUGACGCCUGCCCGGUGCUGGAAGGUUAAGAGGACCGGUUAGCCGUAAGGCGAAGCUGAGAAUUUAAGCCCCAGUAAACGGCGGUGGUAACUAUAACCAUCCUAAGGUAGCGAAAUUCCUUGUCGGGUAAGUUCCGACCUGCACGAAUGGCGUAACGACUUCUCUGCUGUCUCGACCACAGACUCGGCGAAAUUGCACUACGAGUAAAGAUGCUCGUUACGCGCGGCAGGACGAAAAGACCCCGGGACCUUUACUAUAGCUUGGUAUUGGCGUUCGAUUCGGUUUGUGUAGGAUAGGUGGGAGACUGUGAAGCAUGCGCGCCAGUGUGUGUGGAGUCGUUGUUGAAAUACCACUCUGAUCGUAUUGGACGUCUAACCUCGGCCCAUGAUCUGGGUUAGGGACAGUGCCUGGUGGGUAGUUUAACUGGGGCGGUUGCCUCCUAAAGAGUAACGGAGGCGCCCAAAGGUUCCCUCAGCCUGGAUGGCAAUCAGGUGUUGAGUGCAAGUGCACAAGGGAGCUUGACUGUGAGACUGACACGUCGAGCAGGGACGAAAGUCGGGACUAGUGAUCCGGCACCGGCAAGUGGAAGCGGUGUCGCUCAACGGAUAAAAGGUACCCCGGGGAUAACAGGCUGAUCUUCCCCAAGAGUCCAUAUCGACGGGAUGGUUUGGCACCUCGAUGUCGGCUCGUCGCACCCUGGGGCUGGAGUAGGUCCCAAGGGUUGGGCUGUUCGCCCAUUAAAGCGGCACGCGAGCUGGGUUUAGAACGUCGUGAGACAGUUCGGUCUCUAUCCGCCGCGCGCGUAAGAAACUUGAGGAAGGCUGUCCCUAGUACGAGAGGACCGGGACGGACGAACCUCUGGUGUGCCAGUUGUUCCACCAGGAGCAUGGCUGGUUAGCUACGUUCGGAAGGGAUAACCGCUGAAAGCAUCUAAGCGGGAAGCCUGUUCCAAGAUGAGGUUUCUCACCACCUUGCGUGGUUAAGGCCCCCUACAGACCAUGGGGUUGAUAGGCCGGAACUGGAAGCGCAGCAAUGCGUGGAGGUGACCGGUACUAAUAG
rnacentral:rRNA from 1 species